AUACGUAGGGGGCGAGCGUCGUCCGGAAUGAUUGGGCGUAAAGGGCGCGUAGGCGGCCCGGUAAGUCUGGAGUGAAAGUCCUGUUUUUAAGAUGGGAAUUGCUUUGGAUACUGUCGGGCUUGAGUGCAGGAGAGGUAAGUGGAAUUCCCAGUGUAGCGGUGAAAUGCGUAGAGAUUGGGAGGAACACCAGUGGCGAAGGCGACUUACUGGACUGUAACUGACGCUGAGGCGCGAAAGUGUGGGGAGCAAACAGGAUUAGAUACCCUGGUAGUCCACACUGUAAACGAUGAAUGCUAGGUGUAGGGGGUAUCGACCCCUUCUGUGCCGCAGUCAACACAAUAAGCAUUCCGCCUGGGGAGUACGGCCGCAAGGUUGAAACUUAAAGGAAUUGACGGGG
rnacentral:rRNA from 1 species